GUUAUCUUAAUUCCGUAUUAUGAAGUGAAGUCCAGUCCAGUCCAUCCCAUACCAAAGUCCUACCUAUAGCAAAUAGUCUACAAUAUAAACAUCUUAGACAAACUGAUAACACACUUGCUGUGCUUUCCACAAAUCACAUCACAACUUACUUAGACCAGUCCUGGGCUGGCUUAUAUCCCGUAUUCUGAUAUAAUGUUGUGGGCACUCCCAAUGACAAACAUCCUCUGGGUAGUGGCACCACAGCAGUCAACACUAACGAGCCAGCUAGUCCGGUUUUUUUCUAGCCACACCUCGUAUACACCAUGGACCUGUGGCAAAUGGAGAUCAUUCUGUGGAUCCAGGUUGUGUGGUCUCAAACUGUCUGGUCCACACCAGGGUGCCCACCCAAAAGUGAGAGGCCUGGGAAUAACAGCAGUAGGUUCUGAAUAUCCAAGAGAUUGUUGUGAGAGUGAAUUUAAAGCUUUUCUGCCAGGCUGUAAGUUGUUAGGAAACUGCUGAUGGCAUUAGAUGUAGUGUUAGACAUAAUUUCCUUUAGGAGCUGAGGGGUUUUGCUGUAUGACAGAGAGACCACAUGAUACAGUAUGGUAUGAACUUUUUGAAUCCCAAUGUGGGUGCAAAAUCAUUCGAAUUCAUAGGAGGUAAACAUCAUCCCAUUACCAGAAACCAAGGUAUGUGGGCAGUGUUAGCCUCCAAGGGUAAAGAUUUUUCCAAGGCUGCCAUAAUAGUGGUUUUGUGAUCUGUGGCAUGUAGAAGAUAAAAGGGAACUGUUACAAGCAAUCAGUCAUGACCUACCACAUGGAGCCCAAAAAUGGACCAAAUGGAUAAGCUCCCGUGACUCCACAGAUUGGACCAGGGAGAGAACUCCUGGGGAGUUACAGCUUGAUGCGACUGACAAGUGGAGCUUCGAUCGACCAGAUCCAUGAUGUUACAGUCAAUGUUUGACCACAAUAUAUGUUGUCAUACCAAACUUUUCAUCCAGCACUUUCAUUAAUGGCCAAUGUGCAGAAGGCACAGCACUUACAGCCAAAGAGGUGGAGGAAUCGGGAUGCAGCAAUGGUUCUCAUCCAAGACUCACAACAGAACCCCUUGGUUUAAGUGUAGUUGAUGCUGUCAUGGCCAGUAGGAAUGAAAUUCAGGUCUGGGAGGCAUGUCUGGCCAUCUGUGUUGUACAAAAUGGGCAAGACUGUACAAUAUUCUUGCAGGUGGCAGCUGCAACAUCAUGAUGUGUUUAUGAAAAGGUUGAAAUGAGUGAAUCUAUAUCUGUGUAAAGCUGGAAAAAACAGCAAUUCAUUUUGGUCAAAGGCUGGGUUGGACCCAAGGGAAAUUGGGAUAGCAUGUCUAUGUUUGUGUGUUACAUUACUGCUCAAUAGUGGAUAGAAUAACGAAAAUAAGACAAUAAUAGCACUCAACUCUGGAGGCAUGAUGCUUGAGUCUGAAGAUGAUGUGCAACAAAUGAUGAUCUGUGUUGAGAUAGAAUUUCUGUCCACAAAGAAAUAAUUGAAGUUUGUGAGCUGCAUAAAUGACAGUGAUGGCCUCCUGCUCCGUUUAAUAAUGGCAUUGCUGGGCAGUGGAUAGGGUCUUAGAAGCAUAUAAUAUAUGACACUCAGUGCUGUUGGGAUAUUUGAGGCAGGAAUGAGCAAAUACUAUGGGACUGCAUGUCAGUUGCUGCUAACAGAGAUCAGCAGCGUAUGUUGUUUAACAUGAUGUGCACUUAAGACAAUCUUUUGAAGCCUGGAAAGCUUCUUCACAGAAAAGUGAUCAUUCAGAACAUCACCUUGGCAUCAUAGCUGGUUCAGUGAGUAUGGUAGCUCUGCUAAGUCUGUAUUGAAUCAGGCAUAAUAGUUGAUCUUAUGUAGAAGUCUUUUAUAUUUGUGGGGGGCUGCAUUUUAUCAAUCACUGCUGAAUACUCUCUUGUUGGUUCUAGUCCAUUUGCCAAAGGUUUAAACCUUAAAUAUUUCAAGGAAGACUGCAUGAAAGAGCACUUGCACAGUCUGCAUUUCAGUCAUUUUGUUGCAACCAUCUGGAGCAAAACCUUGAGAUUGUGAAGGUGAUCCUCCGGAGCUGCACUUGCAACCAAAAUAUUGUCAAAGUAUGCUGCUCAGUUGGGAACACCUUGUAAUAAUUGAUGCAUAAAAUGCUGACAUAUGACGGGGAUGAAGACAUUUUGAAAGGUAACUAAUUAUAAUGGCAAAGACUAUAUGGCAUAUUUAGCAGUAAAUGCAGUUGUGAUGCUGCAUCCAAGCAGAUUUGAAAAUAUGCCAGUACAAUGUUACUUUUACUGAGUAAAGUAUGAUGGCCUAAUUUUGAAGAGAGUUCAACCAGGGUCAUAAGAGGACAAGAUUCCACUUCAACUUGUACGUUUAUCAUUACUUUAAAAUCACCCCCAAAAUCUCAACAUGUCAUUCAGUCAUUCAUUCACUUCUGUGUCCAGACAGAAUUUCCAGAAAAUAGCAAUUCUGAUGACCUUGUUAUUUGCCUUGAUCAAGUUCCAUAUUGUACAAGGCUGUUCCUGUAGAGGGCAUAUGAGCAAGUGGCCUGAAUCUUGUGUUGUUUUGCACUCGCAGGACAUGCCUCAAUAAGCUGGAAGGAUGCCACAUUUUUGCAUGUAGGUCUUGCAGUGGGAAUACCCACCAUAAGAUGAUUAUGUGAUACCAUAACAGAUUAGGGCAGAUUGCUUCCUGAGGUUAGCUUUUCCUUUGUGGAGAUGUGUGGUGAUGUGAUGUGGUUAGAUUCCAGUAUCCCAUCCAAUGGCUGAGUCCUCGCAAUGCAGCUCUUUCUAGAUUUCAGCUUGAUGACUGAGCAGCAACAGUCCUUCUGACACCUAUUCCAACAAUCAGGUAGAGUUUGUUAAUUGGAGCUGGCUUUGUACAUCCCAACAGGAUUCAGACAGCGUCAUUGACUGCAGUGUCAACCUGUUUGGUGUGAACAUAUGCAUACUGUAUAGCUGACACAUAUAAAACAAGAGCAGAAGUUCUCAGGAUGUGAGGACUAGCUCCAUAGGUGGUGGCUAUGUUCCUUGCACUGACCAUCAGCCUGGUAUUGUAGCAAUGCUUCUUGAAAGACGGUGUACAGUAAAAGUAACAGCCUGAUAUACAGGUGUUGGGCAGAGUUGAAGGCUUACCUUCCCAUGUGAUGUCGAGUCUACACUAGGCUUCCCUAUUCCAUAUGUGCACAUCUGAGUCUUGUUUGGAUUUCACCUUAGAUGAUUGACCUCAUAGUACACGUCAAGCUUAUCCAAAGAUGUAGUCAGCUUUUUUUCUUUGUCUACAAACAUUGUCCCAUGGGCAGCCACUGGUGUAUCAUCAGCUUAGAUGACAUGCUUGAAGUGUUCUUUAAUGAGCUGACAUUGGUGUAAAUAUUAACAAGCACAAGAGUGAGCACACUGCCUUGAAGUAGGUCAUUCUUUUGCAUUCACCAUCUGCUUUUCUUAACCUGGAGAAAGAUCCAGUAUCUUCUAUUCUGCAGGAGACUGCCUGUGAGGGAUGUUAGUUGUUAAUCACUGGUGAAUUGGUAAAUUUUUGUUGCCACUACUUUUGUAAAAAAGUUACAUAUGGACUAGUGAAGGCUCACCUGGUUUAUUAACAACUAGAAAAAAAUACAAGAUGCUCCUUGAAAACAGUGCAUGCUAUCUUAAGUCUGAAUUACAUAGCAAAAUCUAGUCCACUUUGUUCAAAUUCUGGUUAUGACAAACAGAGGCCACAAUAUCAACACUUUAGUCAAAACAGUAACACAAUCACUGCGCAGUCCACAGAUUAUACCUCGACUGACUCAGACCAGUCCUGUGCAGGCUUAUACAAUAGUCUGGUACAAUCUUGUCAGAGAGUGCUCCUGACAACAAGUGUCCUCUGGGUAGUUGUACCACAGUUGUCGACAGUAACAUUGGACCAGAUAUUUGUUUUCCAUAGUGACAUCAGGUGGCACCAUUACUAUUGUCAUAGGGUAAAAUUCCAUUUAAUUUAGUUAUUGUAAUGGGCAUUCAGUUCUGGCAGUUUGAGUGUUUGUUGAGGUCUAUGUACGGUAAUAAUAUAAAAAGCAAAUAAGACAGAACUUUGCAACACUGAUUUAUUUUACCAUGACAAGUGUGGGUCAUGCCUCUUAAAGAUAAUGUCUUACAAUUUGUGUGAAAAUCACCUUAGUGUGAUGAUAAUAUUUCUUAUCCCAGAUGAUUACUAUCUCCAAAUUAAUAUGUAACAUAAAAUGUGUGGAGUAUCUCUCUUGAACUCAAAUACACAGUAUAUUUUAUAUUACUAUAUACAAAGAACACACACACACCACAUAAUACUGUAGUCAUAACCAAGCCAGUGUAACUUGCGUGAUGUUAGCCACUAUCUGUAAAUGGGGUUUCUCCCACAAUACAUCAUUGCAAAAUAAGUCUUUGAUACAAAGAAAUUUUGGCUACAUGUGUUUGUUUUCCCCUCUGAGGUCCACAGUCAUCAGAGAUAAACAAGGGAAAUUUGUUUCCACAACUCCUUAAGAUCAGUCACAAAGAAUUUGCUUUGAAAUUGACUAGUUUGGAAACAAACCCAGAAUUUUCUAAAAUGGAAACAGUUAUCAUGAAGCUGCAAUAUCAUCUUAUUCAAGCUGCCAUGAGAAAGAUUUUGCUUAAAAAUGUGCUAAAAUUUUGAUCCUCAUAAAGCACAGAACUUUUUAUUUUCAUUUAGUGGUCUGAGAUCACCAAGUUUUCUUCAAAUAUGACUAGAUUUGGAUUGAUGAAUAAUCUAUUUGCAGAACUAGCCUUGUUUCUGAGUAACUUAUCAAUUUAAGUUAUAAACAGCUUUCAUCUGUAAUUAUUUCUCCGUAUUUAGUCAGCUCAUUUAAGUAUCAAUGAAUACAGCAAAAGAUAAUGCUGAUUGCCUGAACUUUUGUUCCUGUACUUGAAUUAACUGGUAGACUUGAUAUUGUGUUACAUAGAGAUAUUGUUAUGUUAUUGUGUUUACUUUGUGUUACUGCUUUUCUAAGAUGCUAAUCAAAUCAAAUAUGCUUCCAUUCAAAAUAAACUGGUUUCUUCUAGAUCAAAUACACAGAAAUAAUGAAAAUUACUAUAUUGUUGGAUCACUCAUAAAACAAUAGUAAGCACAUAAUGGCUUUUUAUUCUGAGAAAGACAUGUUUCAUGUUGAAACAUAUAUAAACAAUGCACUGAUUUUAUCUGUGAAGAUUAGUGUACAGAGGCAAGGUGAAGAAUUGCAGAAUACUGACACACAGACUUACAUUAUGGUAUUACAAAUCAUAACUUUUACAUCAUAAGCUAAAAAAACUGUAAGAAAUAUAUUAUGCUAAAUUAUGAGGCAUUAACAUAUGACAUUGGAAAUUGCAGACAGGAAUAAGCAAAUGUAUUGUGUUACCAAUAUUAAUGGUUGUUGCAUGGAAAGUGCACUGUGUAGCAACUGAAUUCCUUUUGUGUGUGUGUGUGUGUGUGUGUGUGUGUGUGUGUGUGUGUGU